GGGUAGCCGGCCUGAGAGGGUGACCGGCCACACUGGGACUGAGACACGGCCCAGACUCCUACGGGAGGCAGCAGUGGGGAAUAUUGCACAAUGGGCGCAAGCCUGAUGCAGCGACGCCGCGUGAGGGAUGACGGCCUUCGGGUUGUAAACCUCUUUCAGUAGGGAAGAAGCGAGAGUGACGGUACCUGCAGAAGAAGCGCCGGCUAACUACGUGCCAGCAGCCGCGGUAAUACGUAGGGCGCAAGCGUUAUCCGGAAUUAUUGGGCGUAAAGAGCUCGUAGGCGGUUUGUCGCGUCUGCCGUGAAAGUCCGGGGCUCAACUCCGGAUCUGCGGUGGGUACGGGCAGACUAAAGUGAUGUAGGGGAGACUGGAAUUCCUGGUGUAGCGGUGAAAUGCGCAGAUAUCAGGAGGAACACCGAUGGCGAAGGCAGGUCUCUGGGCAUUAACUGACGCUGAGGAGCGAAAGCAUGGGGAGCGAACAGGAUUAGAUACCCUGGUAGUCCAUGCCGUAAACGUUGGGCACUAGGUGUGGGGGACAUUCCACGUUUUCCGCGCCGUAGCUAACGCAUUAAGUGCCCCGCCUGGGGAGUACGGCCGCAAGGCUAAAACUCAAAAGGAAUUGACGGGGGCCCGCACAAGCGGCGGAGCAUGCGGAUUAAUUGAUGCAACGCGAAGAACCUUACCAAGGCUUGACAUGAACCGGACCGGGCUGGAAACAGUCUUUCCCCUUUGGGGCUGGUUUACAGGUGGUGCAUGGUUGUCGUCAGCUCGUGUCGUGGGAUGUUGGGUUAAGUCCCGCAACGAGCGCAACCCUCGUUCUAUGUUGCCAGCACGUGAUGGUGGGGAGUCAUAGGAGACUGCCGGGGUCAACUCGGAGGAAGGUGGGGAGGACGUCAAAUCAUCAUGCCCCUUAUGUCUUGGGCUUCACGCAUGCUACAAUGGCCGGUACAAAGGGUUGCGAUACUGUGAGGUGGAGCUAAUCCCAAAAAGCCGGUCUCAGUUCGGAUUGGGGUCUGCAACUCGACCCCAUGAAGUCGGAGUCGCUAGUAAUCGCAGAUCAG
rnacentral:rRNA from 1 species